GAUGAACGCUGGCGGCGUGCCUAACACAUGCAAGUCGAGCGAUUCUCUUCGGAGAAGAGCGGCGGACGGGUGAGUAACGCGUGGGUAACCUGCCCUGUACACACGGAUAACAUACCGAAAGGUAUGCUAAUACGAGAUAAUAUGCUUUAUCGCAUGGUAGAAGUAUCAAAGCUUUUGCGGUACAGGAUGGACCCGCGUCUGAUUAGCUAGUUGGUAAGGUAACGGCUUACCAAGGCGACGAUCAGUAGCCGACCUGAGAGGGUGAUCGGCCACAUUGGAACUGAGACACGGUCCAAACUCCUACGGGAGGCAGCAGUGGGGAAUAUUGCACAAUGGGCGAAAGCCUGAUGCAGCAACGCCGCGUGAGCGAUGAAGGCCUUCGGGUCGUAAAGCUCUGUCCUCAAGGAAG
rnacentral:rRNA from 1 species